UAUAUAAGCAGCUCCUGACUAGCCAUCAAACAGAUCAUUCUCUCAGCUUGUUCGAGAUAGUUCAACUGAAGAUUUGUAUUUGUCGUGUUGACUUGUGUUUUUUUUUUGCUUUCGUCGAAUUAUUUCAUACCUAUUCGUUCAGAAUAAACAUGGCAGAGUCUGUUGAAAAUUUGAAAGAACAAAUUGUCAAUGAAGUCAAUGAAGCAGAAGCAGAGUCACCCAGCGAGGAAGAUGGGGAGGCCUGGGACUCCAGGUAUGAACCUACAGUUCCUGGUGGGGAAUUUACGGACCUUCACGCAGCAGUGGAGAAAAAUGAUUUGGAGGGAGUAAUGACGCUACUCCAAAAAGGAGCCUACGUCAACAUCCAUGAUGAUUAUGGAUGUACUGCCUUGGAUUUAGCACUCCAGUUGGGGCAUUAUCAAGUCAUCAGACCUCUGGUGGAAUACGGCAGCGAAACGUUCAUUAUUAUGGACCACCUCCAGAGGUCUCCAAAGAGGGACGAAUGCCUCAAUGAGCUGCUAAAAUCCGGGAUCAGUAUCAACUUGAAGGCUUGCUACGGACGUACGCUCCUUCAGAACAUAUUCCGGGACGAACCGAGAAACAUCGAAUUCAUCGAAAAGUUGUUGGAUUUAGGGGCCGAUAUCAACUGCUUUGACUAUCGGAAAGAUGGCCUUAUCCACUCCAUGGCAAACAGCCUGAUGGGGAGGGAGGUUGGAUUGCCCUUGCUGAUGGUCAUAUUGAAGAGGGGUAUACUAGUGGAGACCUUAAACUUGCGAGAGCAAACACCUCUUCAAUUGGCCAUCAUAAACCGCAAGGACUUCAUGAUCCAGCCCCUACUGGAAUAUGGGGCUAUUAUUGGCGAUCCAACCUACUGGUACCCUACUCUGUUGGAUGAGGCAUACGACAGACGGAUGUAUGGCUGUUUGAAGGAGAUGAUAAGGCAUCUUAUAGUCAAGGAACUUCGAGGUGGAUUCGUGGAGGAAAAACUUAAGGUAAAGAUGGCUUCACCUCUUUACCUUAAGUUUUACCGGUCGUGUUUCGAUGAAAUUCAAGGACUAAAACUGGAGAAAAUCUCGAACACUCCAUUAACGUUUUACGACUUGAUUUUCAAAUCCAGAAAAGUGUAUAUGUUCCUGAAGGAGAAAAAAAUAGUGGAGGAAUUGUCCAACAGCCUCAUUGCUUCCUCCUACCACUGCACCAUCAUUUUGGGUUGGGAAUAUGCCAAAAUGAGGAGGCACCUUGAAGACUCCGUACUUCAAUUGGUGCCAGAGGUCUUCCUUCAUCUUCCCUACCCAUGGGUCCGGACAAUGCUGGAGAAAGUUUAUGAUGUGACUCUGGAAAAUUGGUUGAACUAUUACUCUGCUUCAUAAGUUCCAGUUCAACCUUGAUGAUUUGGAAGGACAUGAAAAAAAUAUUGAGUAAUAGCUCAUUGGUGACGAAGAAAGGGGGGUUCGUGAAAACAUUGAGUAUCCAUAUGGGUACUAAAGAGGAGAAUGUAUUUCUACAGGAGACACAUAUACCAACCAAAAUGGGAUUGAAGGGAAUAUCAGUUCGAAUCCACAAAGUGGGGAAAUGGACAUACCAGUACGUGGGGACCCUGAACUUGAUUGAACAAUCACCUCUUCAAUUGGCCAUUAGAAAUAGCAAAGAGUACAUGAUUUAGCCUCUACUGGAAAAUGGUGCUAUAAUAGGCAAUCCAACUUGCCUACCCUACUCUGUUGGAUGAAGCAUUCGACAGAGGGAUGUAUGGCUGUUUGCGUGAGAUGAAAAUAAUGGAAGAAUUGUCCGAAAGCCGCACUGCUGCCUCCUCCUAUCACUGCACCAUUAUUUUGGAUUGGAAACGUGCCAAACUAAGGAAGCAUCUUGAAGACUCCGUACUUCAAAUUGUACCUGAGGUCUUCCUUCAUCUUCCCUAUCCAUGGGUCCGGACAAUGCUGGAGAAAGUUGUAAAGGUGGCUUUAGAAAAUUGGUUCAACUAUUACUCUGCUACAUAACUUCCAGUUCAACCUUGAUGAUUUGAAAAAUUUUAUAAUGGACUACCUACCUUCAGAGCUUAUUGAAGAGGGACGAAUGUCUCGACGAGCUGCUCAAAUCCAAGAUCAGCAUUAACACAAAGGGUUGUCUGAAAGAGAUGAAAAGUCAUUUGAUAUUCCAAGAAAUUCUAAGUGAAUUCGUUAGAGGGAAACACGAAAAUGACCUCUCCGCCACAAGGAAUUCAUGAUCCAGCCCCUACUGGAAUAUGGUGCUAUUAUUGGCGAUCAAACCUUCAAGUACCCUACUCUGUUGGAUGAAGCUUACGACAGAGGGAUGUAUGGCUGUUUGAAGGAGAUGAUAAGGCAUCUUAUAGUCAGGGAACUUCGAGGUGAAUUCGUGGAGGAAAACCUUAAAGUAAAGAUGGCAUCACCUCUUCACGUUAAGUUAUACCGGUCGUGUUUUGAUGAAAUUCAAGGAUUAAAACUGGGGAAAAUCUUGAAUACUCCAUUGACGUUUUAUGACUUGAUUUUCAAAUCCAGAAAAGUGUAUAUGUUCCUGAAGGAGAAAAAAAUAGUGGAGGAAUUGUCCAACAGCCUCAUUGCUUCCUCCUACCACUGCACCAUCAUUUUGGGUUGGGAAUAUGCCAAACUGAGGAGGCACCUUGAAGACUCCGUACUUCAAUUGGUGCCAGAGGUCUUCCUUCAUCUUCCCUACCCAUGGGUCCGGACAAUGCUGGAGAAAGUUUAUGGGGUGACUCUAGAAAAUUGGUUGAACUAUUACUCUGCUUCAUAAGUUCCAGUGUAUAUGUUCCUGAAGGAGAAAAAAAUAGUGGAGGAAUUGUCCAACAGCCUCAUUGCUUCCUCCUACCACUGCACCAUCAUUUUGGGUUGGGAAUAUGCCAAACUGAGGAGGCACCUUGAAGACUCCGUACUUCAAUUGGUGCCAGAGGUCUUCCCUCAUCUUCCCUACCCAUGGGUCCGGACAAUGCUGGAGAAAGUUUAUGGGGUGACUCUGGAAAAUUGGUUGAACUAUUACUCUGCUUCAUAAGUUCCAGUGUAUAUGUUCCUGAAGGAGAAAAAAAUAGUGGAGGAAUUGUCCAACAGCCUCAUUGCUUCCUACUAUCACUGCACCAUCAUUUUGGGUUGGGAAUAUGCCAAACUGAGGAGGCACCUUGAAGACUCCGUACUUCAAUUGGUGCCAGAGGUCUUCCUUCAUCUUCCCUACCCAUGGGUCCGGACAAUGCUGGAGAAAGUUUAUGGGGUGACUCUAGAAAAUUGGUUGAACUAUUACUCUGCUUCAUAAGUUCCAGUGUAUAUGUUCCUGAAGGAGAAAAAAAUAGUGGAGGAAUUGUCCAACAGCCUCAUUGCUUCCUACUAUCACUGCACCAUCAUUUUGGGUUGGGAAUAUGCCAAACUGAGGAGGCACCUUGAAGACUCCGUACUUCAAUUGGUGCCAGAGGUCUUCCUUCAUCUUCCCUACCCAUGGGCCCGGACAAUGCUGGAGAAAGUUCAUGGGGUGUCUCUGGAAAAUUGGUUGAACUAUUACUCUGCUUCAUAAGUUCCGGUUCAACCUUGAUGAUUUGCAAGGCGACGACUAACAGAUCAUUACAGGACACGGACAUGAAGAUGUCGAAUUAUGAAGAAAAAUCGAGGUGACAGAUGAGGCAGUCAUCACUGAAAAGUACUGGAGGAUACAAAUCUUGGCAGUGAAGCUUGAUAACUGGAGGAACCUCCAUCUGGCCAAAUGAAUUAGAGAAUUGAUGUAUUUGUAUAUAUUUUGUUGAAUAAAUUGAUGUAUAUUCUGUAAAAA